rnacentral:tRNA from 1 species
GUUUCUAUAGUUGAAUUACAACG